GGUGGGAGCGGGCUUGCUCGCGAUGCAGGCGGCGCGGUCUGCCAGUACAACCGCGGUGAUGCCAUCGCGAGCAAGCCCGCUCCCACA
rnacentral:misc_RNA from 1 species